rfam:Rattus norvegicus chromosome 2, whole genome shotgun sequence.
CAACAGGCUUUUGCUAAAAGCCACAAAAAAAUAGAAAGGGAGAGAGU